rnacentral:rRNA from 1 species
UACGUAGGGUGCAAGCGUUACUCGGAAUUACUGGGCGUAAAGCGUGCGCAGGCGGCUUUGCAAGACAGUUGUGAAAUCCCCGGGCUCAACCUGGGAACUGCAUCUGUGACUGCAUCGCUGGAGUACGGUAGAGGGGGAUGGAAUUCCGCGUGUAGCAGUGAAAUGCGUAGAUAUGCGGAGGAACACCGAUGGCGAAGGCAAUCCCCUGGACCUGUACUGACGCUCAUGCACGAAAGCGUGGGGAGCAAACAGG